ACAACGGAGAGUUUGAUCCUGGCUCAGGAUGAACGCUAGCGGCAGGCUUAAUACAUGCAAGUCGAGGGAAAAGUAGUUUUCGGACUAUGAAGACCGGCGCACGGGUGCGUAACGCGUACACAACAUGCCUAAUACUGGAGUAUAGUCUCGGGAAACUGGGGGUAAUCCUCCAUAAUAUUAUAGAAUCGCAUGAUUUUAUAAUUAAAGCUCAGGCGGUAUUAGAUUGGUGUGCGUAUGAUUAGCUUGUUGGUAGGGU
rnacentral:rRNA from 1 species